GUGUCAGCAGCCGCGGUAAUACCGGCAGCCCGAGUGAUGGCCGAUCUUAUUGGGCCUAAAGCGUCCGUAGCUGGCCACGCAAGUCCAUCGGGGAAUCCACCUGCCCAACAGGUGGGCGCCCGGUAGAAACUGCGUGGCUUGGGACCGGAAGGCGCGACGGGUACGUCCGGGGUGGGAGUGAAAUCCUGUAAUCCAGGACGGACCGCCGAUGGCGAAAGCACGUCGCGAGGACGGAUCCGACAGUGAGGGACGAAAGCCAGGGUCUCGAACCGGAUUAGAAACCCCGGUAGUCC
rnacentral:rRNA from 1 species